GAUGAACGCUGACAGAAUGCUUAACACAUGCAAGUCAACUUGAACUUCGGUUUGGGUGGCGGACGGGUGAGUAACGCGUAAAGAACUUGCCUCACAGCUAGGGACAACAUUUGGAAACGAAUGCUAAUACCUGAUAUUAUGAUUAUAUGGCAUCGUAUAAUUAUGAAAGCUAUAUGCGCUGUGAGAGAGCUUUGCGUCCCAUUAGCUAGUUGGAGAGGUAACAGCUCACCAAGGCGAUGAUGGGUAGCCGGCCUGAGAGGGUGAUCGGCCACAAGGGGACUGAGACACGGCCCUUACUCCUACGGGAGGCAGCAGUGGGGAAUAUUGGACAAUGGACCGAGAGUCUGAUCCAGCAAUUCUGUGUGCACGAUGAAGUUUCUCGGAAUGUAAAGUGCUUUCAGUUGGGAAGAAAAAAAUGACGGUACCAACAGAAGAAGUGACGGCUAAAUACGU
rnacentral:rRNA from 1 species